CGCUGGCGGUAGGCCUAACACAUGCAAGUCGAACGGCAGCACAGUAAGAGCUUGCUCUUAUGGGUGGCGAGUGGCGGACGGGUGAGGAAUACAUCGGAAUCUACUUUUUCGUGGGGGAUAACGUAGGGAAACUUACGCUAAUACCGCAUACGACCUUCGGGUGAAAGCAGGGGACCUUCGGGCCUUGCGCGAUUGAAUGAGCCGAUGUCGGAUUAGCUGGUUGGCGGGGUAAAGGCCCACCAAGGCGACGAUCCGUAGCUGGUCUGAGAGGAUGAUCAGCCACACUGGAACUGAGACACGGUCCAGACUCCUACGGGAGGCAGCAGUGGGGAAUAUUGGACAAUGGGCGCAAGCCUGAUCCAGCCAUACCGCGUGGGUGAAGAAGGCCUUCGGGUUGUAAAGCCCUUUUGUUGGGAAAGAAAAGCAGCGGGCUAAUACCUUGCUGUUCUGACGGUACCCAAAGAAUAAGCACCGGCUAACUUCGUGCCAGCAGCCGCGGUAAUACGAAGGGUGCAAGCGUUACUCGGAAUUACUGGGCGUAAAGCGUGCGUAGGUGGUCGUUUAAGUCUGUUGUGAAAGCCCUGGGCUCAACCUGGGAACUGCAGUGGAAACUGGACGACUAGAGUGUGGUAGAGGGUAGCGGAAUUCCCGGUGUAGCAGUGAAAUGCGUAGAGAUCGGGAGGAACAUCCAUGGCGAAGGCAGCUACCUGG
rnacentral:rRNA from 1 species